UUAUGUAAAGUCUAGCCUGCCCAGUGAUAAUUGAAUUUAACGGCCGCGGUAGCAUGACCGUGCUAAGGUAGCAUAAUCAUUUGUCCUUUAAUUGAGGACUGGUAUAAACGGCUGCACAAGAAAUUGUCUGUCUCUACUAUAAAAUUUGAAAUUCACAUUUAAGUGAAAAGGCUUAAAUGGAAUGGGGGGACGAUAAGACCCUAUAAAUCUUUACAAUUAGGGCUUUAGUUAUUAGAAAGUAGUUAUGGAUCUAAAUCUAAGGUCUAAAUUGUUUUGUUGGGGCGACAGAAGUAUAAUAAGUAACUGCUUUGGUUUUCAUAUUAAUUGUUUUUAUUAUGGUUAGUUUAAAAGAUCCUCUUUUGGAGAUCACAGACUAAGUUACUUUAGGGAUAACAGCGUAAUCUUUCUUGAGAGUUCAUAUCGAAAGAAGGGUUUGCGACCUCGAUGUUGAAUUAAAGAACCUUUAUGGUGUAGCCGCUAUAAGAGGA
rnacentral:rRNA from 1 species